AUUGAACGCUGGCGGCAGGCCUAACACAUGCAAGUCGAGCGGAUGAAGGGAGCUUGCUCCUGGAUUCAGCGGCGGACGGGUGAGUAAUGCCUAGGAAUCUGCCUGGUAGUGGGGGAUAACGUCCGGAAACGGGCGCUAAUACCGCAUACGUCCUGAGGGAGAAAGUGGGGGAUCUUCGGACCUCACGCUAUCAGAUGAGCCUAUGUCGGAUUAGCUAGUUGGUGGGGUAAAGGCCUACCAAGGCGACGAUCCGUAACUGGUCUGAGAGGAUGAUCAGUCACACUGGAACUGAGACACGGUCCAGACUCCUACGGGAGGCAGCAGUGGGGAAUAUUGGACAAUGGGCGAAAGGCUGAUCCAGCCAUGCCGCGUGUGUGAAGAAGGUCUUCGGAUUGUAAAGCACAUUAAGUUGGGAGGAAGGGAAGUAAGUUAAUACCUUGCUGUUUUGACGUUACCAUCAGAAUAAGCACCGGCUAACUUCGUG
rnacentral:rRNA from 1 species